rnacentral:rRNA from 1 species
CCUACGGGGGGCUGCAGUGGGGAAUAUUGGACAAUAGGGGGAACCCUGAUCCAGCCAUGCCGCGUGUGUGAAGAAGGCCCUCGGGUUGUAAAGCACUUUCAGUGAGGAAGAACGCCUGGUGGUGAAUACCCAUCAGGAAAGACAUCACUCACAGAAGAAGCACCGGCUAACUCCGUGCCAGCAGCCGCGGUAAUACGGAGGGUGCGAGCGUUAAUCGGAAUUACUGGGCGUAAAGCGCGCGUAGGUGGCUUGAUAAGCCGGUUGUGAAAGCCCCGGGCUCAACCUGGGAACGGCAUCCGGAACUGUCAAGCUAGAGUGCAGGAGAGGAAGGUAGAAUUCCCGGUGUAGCGGUGAAAUGCGUAGAGAUCGGGAGGAAUACCAGUGGCGAAGGCGGCCUUCUGGACUGACACUGACACUGAGGUGCGAAAGCGUGGGUAGCAAACAGGAUUAGAUACCCUGGUAGUC